GUUGGAACACGUGUUCCCGUACGAUCACAGAAGUUAAGCAUCGUCGAACUUGGUCAGUACCUCGAGGGGUGACCACCUGAGAAUACCAGUUA